CAGCAGCCACGGUAAUACGGAGUGUGCAAGCGUUAAUCGGAAUUACUGGGCGUAAAGCGCACGCAGGCGGUCUGACAAGUCAGAUGUGAAAUCCCCGGGCUUAACCUGGGAACUGCAUUUGAAACUGUCAGACUGGAGUCUUGUAGAGGGGGGUAGAGUUCCAGGUGUAGCGGUGAAAUGCGUAGAGAUCUGGAGGAAUACCGGUGGCGAAGGCGGCCCCCUGGACAAAGACUGACGCUCAGGUGCGAAAGCGUGGGGAGCAAACAGGAUUAGAUACCCGCGUAGUCCCUGUCUCUUAUAC
rnacentral:rRNA from 1 species